UCUGGGUUGGCCGAGUGGAUAAGGCUUUGGACUUAAGUUCCAAUGGACAAGUGUCCGCGUGGGUUCGAACCCCUCACCCAGUA
rfam:Ciona savignyi cont_33097, whole genome shotgun sequence.